UACAUCUUGACUCUACUCCUCCUCCCCCAAGGGCUUCUGCCAAUGACAAGUUCAUAGAACAGAGUCCUCCUGUGAAAUCUACUACAGUACAUUUCAGCAUGCAAUGCAAAAGAGAGCUGACAGAAGGGUGGAGCCAAGAUGGCCAAAUAGGAACAGCACCGGUCUACAGCUCCCAGCGUGAGCGAUGCAGAAAACGGGUGAUUUCUGCAUUUCCAUCUGAGAUCCUGAAUUCCAGCAGAAUGGCUGACAUCAACCAGUUUGAAGACCCUCACAGAAGAACACAAUCAACAUGAGAAUGCAGUUCCUUCAUCUCUCAUCCCUAACUUCACUUUGCACUCUUCAACCAAUCAACAGUCCCCAUACCUUGGCCCACUACUCUUUCAAACUCUUUAAAAUCCCUAGCCUCAGACUCCGCGGAGUGGCACAUUUGGGGUUUCCUCCCUUCUCCUCAUACAGCUGCUUACCUUUAAACCUCUUUC